rnacentral:lncRNA from 1 species
AAAAAACUGAAAGGAAAGAAAUAUAAUUCCAUAUUCUAGAAAAAGCCCCAGAACUAGCUCUUCUUUCUUCUUUUCUUUUUUUUGGGGGGACGGAGGCUCGGUCUGUUGUCCAGGCUGGAGUGCAGUGGCGCGAUCUCGGCUCACUGCAAGUUCUGCCUCCCGAGUUCACGCCAUUCUCCUGCCUCAGCCUUCUGAGUUGCUGGGACUACAGGCGCCCGCCACCAGGCGCGGCUAAUUUUUUUUUUUUUUUUUUUUUUUUUUUGUAUUUUCAGUACAGACGGGGUUUCACCGUAUUAGCCAGGAUGGUCUCAAUCUUCUAACCUCGUGAUCUGCCCACCUCGGCCUCGCAAAGCGCUGGGAUUACAGGCGUGAGCCUCCGCGACCGGCCAGAACUAGCUCUUCUUAAGGAUGUGACAGUGAUCUGCACUAGAGCUUCAGGCAGCUAAGGAUAUCUGAAAAGGAGAGACUCUAUGGAGUGUGGAUGUAGAAAAGGAGUUAUUCCUACCGGAAAAAAAUGAACUGUGGACACAGUCACUCAAGACCAGAGAAACAACCACUAUGAGUAAGUAGCUUCAAUUUCACUGUUACCAGGAGGGCACACACCAGAAAGCCUGGGACAAAGCCUGGGCUAGAGCCCUCAGGAUUCAUUCUCAGGCUUCCUGGUGCUGUGGUUCAACAGCCUUUGUGGGGAUGGGGAGAACCAGAGACUAUCACCAUCACAUGUAAAAAAUAUUACCACAGCAACAGCUGUCAAAAACCAGCUGGAGCUGAAGUUACACACCAUUUGAAAUCCACACUGUACUUGCUUUCUUGUGAUGGGCUUGAGACAUGUGCAGAGACACCUUAAACAUGUGUAGGUGACCACCCUUUUGAAAGGCAGAGGAGGGCCUCUUCAUGAACUCUUUCUACUCAUUUGUUUUCCUAUCAGUUCACCAUUUCAACUAGAAAAGAUGC